rnacentral:rRNA from 1 species
GCCAAAGGCAUAAAUGUAAUGAAGGCAAUAGAUUCCAUCUGAUCUUUGAAGCUAAUCAAGAUUAGCCUUGAAUAGUACGUGAAUAGGAGACCACCAAGGAAUACCAGGGGCUUUAGCCU